GGUGAGAUGGCCGAGUGGUUAAGGCGCCAGACUAAGGCUGACUAAUCGAUAGAUGCGUCGAUAAUGGACCAAAUCACAUGGUGAUUAUGCUAUCUGGUCCGAAAGGGCGUGGGUUCGAGUCCCACUCUCAUCA